AACGAACGCUGGCGGCAGGCUUAACACAUGCAAGUCGAACGCCCCGCAAGGGGAGUGGCAGACGGGUGAGUAACGCGUGGGAAUCUACCCAUCCCUACGGAAUAACGCAUGGAAACGUGUGCUAAUACCGUAUACGCCCUACGGGGGAAAGAUUUAUCGGGGAUGGAUGAGCCCGCGUUGGAUUAGCUAGUUGGUGGGGUAAAGGCCUACCAAGGCGACGAUCCAUAGCUGGUCUGAGAGGAUGAUCAGCCACAUUGGGACUGAGACACGGCCCAAACUCCUACGCAAGGCAGCAGUGUGGAAUAUUGGACAAUGGGCGCAAGCCUGAUCCAGCCAUGCCGCGUAAGUGAUGAAGGCCUUAGGGUUGUAAAGCUCUUUCACCGGAGAAGAUAAUGACGGUAUCCGGAGAAGAAGCCCCGGCUAACUUCGUG
rnacentral:rRNA from 1 species